rnacentral:rRNA from 1 species
UACAGAGGGGGCAAGCGUUGUUCGGAAUUACUGGGCGUAAAGGGCGCGUAGGCGGCCUUCUAAGUCGAACGUGAAAUCCCUGGGCUCAACCCAGGAACUGCGUCCGAUACUGGGAGGCUUGAAUCCGGGAGAGGGAUGUGGAAUUCCAGGUGUAGCGGUGAAAUGCGUAGAUAUCUGGAGGAACACCGGUGGCGAAGGCGGCAUCCUGGACCGGUAUUGACGCUGAUGCACGAAAGCGUGGGGAGCAAACAGG